UUUCCGCCCCUUAUUGCUGCAGCUAACGCAUUAAGCACUCCGCCGGGGGAGUACGACCGCAAGGUUGAAACUCAAAGGAAUUGACGGGGACCCGCACAAGCGGUGGAGCAUGUGGUUUAAUUCAAAGCAACGCGAAAAACCUUACCAAAUCUUGACAUCCUUUGACAACUCUAAAGAUAGAGCUUUCCCCUUCGGGGGACAAAGUGACAGGUGGUGCAUGGUUGUCGUCAGCUCGUGUCGUGAGAUGUUGGGUUAAGUCCCGCAACGAGCGCAACCCUUAAGCUUAAUUGCCAUCAUUAAGUUGGGCACUCUAAGUUGACUGCCGGUGACAAACCGGAGGAAGGUGGGGAUGACGUCAAAUCAUCAUGCCCCUUAUGAUUUGGGCUACACACGUGCUACAAUGGACAAUACAAAGGGCAGCGAAACCGCGAGGUCAAGCAAAUCCCAUAAAGUUGUUCUCAGUUCGGAUUGUAGUCUGCAACUCGACUACAUGAAGCUGGAAUCGCUAGUAAUCGUAAAUCAGCAUGCUACGGUGAAUACGUUCCCGGGUCUUGUACACACCGCCCGUCACACCACGAGAGUUUGUAACACCCGAAGCCGGUGGAGUAACCAUUUGGAGCUAGCCGUCGAAGGUGGGACAAAUGAUUGGGGUGAAGUCGUACAGGGGGACCCCGAAAAA
rnacentral:rRNA from 1 species